rnacentral:rRNA from 1 species
UACGUAGGGGGCAAGCGUUGUCCGGAAUCAUUGGGCGGAAAGAGCGUGUAGGCGGUCCGGUAAGUCGGCUGUGAAAGUCCAGGGCUCAACCCUGGGAUGCCGGUCGAUACUGCCGGACUAGAGUUCGGAAGAGGCGAGUGGAAUUCCCGGUGUAGCGGUGAAAUGCGCAGAUAUCAGGAAGAACACCCGUGGCGAAAGCGGCUCUCUGGAACGGUACUGACGCUGAGACGCGAAAGCGUGGGGAGCGAACAGG